UACGUAGGGGGCAAGCGUUGUCCGGAUUUAUUGGGCGUAAAGAGCGUGUAGGCGGCCAAACAGGUCAGCUGUGAAAACUCGAGGCUCAACCUCGAGACGUCGGUUGAAACCGUUUGGCUAGAGUCCGGAAGAGGAGAGUGGAAUUCCCGGUGUAGCGGUGAAAUGCGCAGAUAUCGGGAAGAACACCCGUGGCGAAGGCGGCUCUCUGGGACGGUACUGACGCUGAGACGCGAAAGCGUGGGGAGCGAACAGG
rnacentral:rRNA from 1 species